rnacentral:tRNA from 1 species
AUCCUACUAGCUCAAAAGGUAGAGCAUUUGUGCGAAUGCACAAACGAUGUGGGUUCGAAUCCCACGUAGGUUC